rnacentral:rRNA from 1 species
AGGACGAACGCUGGCGGCGUGCUUAACACAUGCAAGUCGAGCGGAAAGGCCCUUUCGGGGGUACUCGAGCGGCGAACGGGUGAGUAACACGUGAGUAACCUGCCUUCAGCUUUGGGAUAACCCUCGGAAACGGGGGCUAAUACCGGGUAUUCACCUUGGGGGGCAUCUUCUGGGGUGGAAAGUUUUUCGGCUGGAGAUGGGCUCGCGGCCUAUCAGCUUGUUGGUGGGGUAAUGGCCUACCAAGGCGGUGACGGGUAG